GAUGAACGCUAGCUACAGGCUUAACACAUGCAAGUCGAGGGGCAGCAUGGACAUAGCUUGCUAUGUUUGAUGGCGACCGGCGCACGGGUGCGUAACACGUAUCCAAUCUGCCCGUUACUCGGGGAUAGCCUUCUGAAAGGAAGAUUAAUACCCGAUGGCAUGUAUUCCCGGCAUCGGAGAUACAUUAAAGAUUUAUCGGUAACGGAUGAGGAUGCGUACGAUUAGCUUGUUGUCGGGGUAACGGCCCACCAAGGCGACGAUCGUUAGGGGUUCUGAGAGGAAGGUCCCCCACACUGGAACUGAGACACGGUCCAGACUCCUACGGGAGGCAGCAGUGAGGAAUAUUGGUCAAUGGUCGGAAGACUGAACCAGCCAAGUAGCGUGAAGGAUGACUGCCCUACGGGUUGUAAACUUCUUUUGUUUGGGAAUAAAAGACGCUACGUGUAGCGUUCUGCAUGUACCUUACGAAUAAGCAUCGGCUAAUUCCGUGCCAGCCGCCGCGGUAAAAC
rnacentral:rRNA from 1 species